UUCGCAAUGCCCGAAAGGGUGACGAAGCGACGCCGCGUGCGGGGAGAAGGCCUUCGGGUUGUAAACCGCUGUCGGGAGUUAGGAAUGCAAGGAUGUUAAUAGCGUCUUUGCUUGACUAAGGCUCCGGAGGAAGCCACGGCUAACUCUGUGCCAGCAGCCGCGGUAAUACAGAGGCGGCAAGCGUUGUUCGGAAUUAUUGGGCGUAAAGAGCACGUAGGCGGCUGUGUAAGUCGGUUGUGAAAGCCUUCCGCUCGACGGGAGAACGGCAUCCGAUACUGCAUAGCUAGAGUGCGGGAGGGGAGAGUGGAACUUCUGGUGGAGCGGUGAAAUGCGUAGAUAUCAGAAGGAACACCGGCGACGAAGGCGACUCUCUGGCCCGUAACUGACGCUGAGUGUGCGAAAGCUAGGGGAGCAAACGGGAUUAGAUACCCCGGUAGUCCUAGCCGUAAACGAUGGGCACUAAGUAGAGGGGUUUU
rnacentral:rRNA from 1 species